UAGUCCAAUGAGCUCAAAAGUUUUAUAAUCACUGAACUCAAAAGUAACAAACAAGUUGAGUCAUCUUAAAACCUAUAAGCCGAUUCAACUUUUGCCACAGUUAUAUGUUUAUUGGACUAAAACAUUUUGAGUAAAUGAAACCUUGGAGUCAAAACUUAUGAGUAAUGAGACGUGAUGACGUCAUAACGUACGCCCAUGAACGUGAACUCAGCCACAGAAGUCUUCAAGAUGGCGGAGGUCUGAUGCGAGUGUCAGCUGGCCCAAGUUGAUAACGCACAUACGUCUAGUAUAUCCUUUGUAUUCAUGACGUGCUCCACGAGUUUGUAUGUAUCUUCGAAUAAUAUUUGUUCUGAAUUAAACAAUUAUGUAUGUUUUGCAGUAUCAUGUCAUCAGAGAAUUAUUGCUUGUGGUUAAAAGAAGUUGUUGGGGCAAAGUUUCAAGUUUUACUUUUACCGAGUUGGUUGGCGCACAUUUUAAAUUAUCUAACCGUUACUAGCUGACCGUUACUACUAGCUAACCGCUAGCUAGCUCUGGCAGAGCGGCUGCCACAGCCACAUAUACGACUCGGUGGGAAUUGCCUUUUUUUUCUACUACUUUUUACCAUAGGCUCUGUGAUUUGGUAAUCGUUAUUUUUUUGUGUAACUUGUAUUUCACGUAGUAACCUAAUAAAUGCAAAUGUGGGCUAAGCUAGCUGCCUUACGCUAACAUGUUCUCGUAUCUUCUUUAGUGAACCGGCGGUGCGUUUGAAAAAUAAGAGCGGAGAUGUGAGCUGAGUUUCAUCGCAUCACAAAUGUCAAACUGUUAAAACAGUUUUAUUUUGACCUGGACAGACAGACGCCACGGAUGCUGAUCUUUUUGAGACAGAAGGCAGCACGAACCGGAAGGCUCUAUGCGACUUUCUGCACCUCUAUGAUAAACAGCAAGAGCAGACUGCUGAUGUCAAAGGUACUCCUGUCCUGUACUGGCUUCCCAUAUACAAACGUGAGGAGGACCCACAGUUCUUCAAAGUUUGGAAUAUUAAAGAGUCACCAGAGGCAGACAUCAGCAGCACCUCUGUUGGCAUUCUGACCGUCAGCAACAACAAUACAAGUUCAGUGCAUUUCUGUCCCCUCAGUACAGCAGUUGUGGUGGAAGAUGAGCUUGUGGUAGGCAAAUUUCCUAAAUGGGUAUUUUUUUUGAGCGCUAAUGUUUAUAGGGAAAUGGCAGCCUAAGAAAAUACUGUUUUAUGUGGGAAAAGUAUAAAAAAAAAAGGCUGAUAAACAAUUUUUGCUUUUCUUGAAAUGUAAGAAUGCUCUUUUUUUAUGAAGUUGUAUAAGGAAAUGGUGUAAAAAAGAUUAGAGCUCAUUUUUUGCUUUUCUUGAAGACUGAUUUAUUUAUUUUUUAUGGCUUGUGCACUUUUUCUUAACACAAAUUGUGCUUUGUUUUACCUUUUUGUAGUACCACAAGUUGUUCAAAUGUACUUGUGUAAGGUGGUUUAAAAAUAAACUUGCAAUUACAA